ensembl:misc_RNA Metazoa_SRP Metazoan signal recognition particle RNA
UCCAGUGGUGGUGAGGCAGACCUGUAACCCCUACUACCAGGAAGGCUGAGAAUGGUGGAUCUCUUGAGUUCAGGAGUUUUGAGCUUCAUUGGGGUAAACCUAUCAGAUGUCUUCACUAUGUUUGGCAGUAAUAUGGUGAUCCUCUGGAAGAAGGGGACCACCAAGUUGACUAAGGAAGAGUGAACUGACCCAAGGUAGAAAUAGGACAGGUCAAAUCUCCUGUACUAAACAGCAGUGGGAUCAGAUUCAUGAGUAGCCCCUGAAUUUCCAGCCUAAGUGAGAUAGGAAGUUACAAUCUUA